rnacentral:misc_RNA from 1 species
AACGGUCUAUACCUGCGGUACCUGCGGAAGGAUCAUUAUUAAAAGCAAAUGAGUGCACUUUAUUGUGACUCGACCCUUUUAAUUAAACCCUUCAAAAAGAAAGAGCAUUUUUUAAUUCUCUUUCUUUUCCACUUUAAAUUAUUUUUCUAUAAACACAAGUUGUUGAUUUGGAAUGAAAACAAAUAAUAUAUAUAACUUUCAACAACGGAUCUCU